UACGGAAGGCAGCAGUGGGGAAUAUUGCACAAUGGGCGAAAGCCUGAUGCAGCUAUGCCGCGUGUAUGAAGAAGGCCUUAGGGUUGUAAAGUACUUUCAUCGGGGAGGAAAAACAAAACUAAUAAUUUUAUUUCUUGACGUUACCCGAAAAAGAAGCACCGGCUAACUCCGUGCCAGCAGCCGCGGUAAUACGGAGGGUGCUAGCGUUAAUCAGAAUUACUGGGCGUAAAGAGCACGUAGGUGGUUUUUUUAAGUCAGAUGUGAAAUCCCUGGGCUUAACCUAGGAACUGCAUUUUGAAACUGAAAUACUAGAGUAUCGUAGAGGGAGGUAGAAUUCUAGGUGUAGCGGUGAAAUGCGUAGAUAUCUGGAGGAAUACCUGUGGCGAAAGCGGCCUCCUAAACGAAUACUGACACUGAGGUGCGAAAGCGCGGGGAGCAAACAGGGAUUAGAUACC
rnacentral:rRNA from 1 species